UGGGUGUGUUUCUAAUUAUGUUAUUGUUUUUAUUUUUGCAGGUGUAUCCCUCGCCGCAGUCAUGUACCCGAAGCCGGGUAGGAGUCCAAGCAUGGUUUAGAUGGGUGAAUUUGUUGUUGGUUUUAAUUGUUAUAAAUGUGUUUAUAUUUAUGCUCUUUUUUCCCCUCGCAGUCCUGUCCAGCCGGGCGCGUUUGUGCGAGAAGGACUUUGUGAAUUUUACACGAGCAGUACAUGGCUCGGGAAGGCAGUUCAAGUCCUCCAGAAGAACGCAGGACAGUAUGGAGUCGUCCAGGACAGGAGCAGGUGUUUGUGGAUAACUGGCUGGGCAGCCCCUGUACGAGCUGACAUGCGCCCCCGAGCAGUUUGGGCAUUUAGCCGGAGUUGAUCUUGGUUUUAGCCAAACUCUUGUUUCAUGGUUUCCAGCACACUUCAGACACCUUGGGCCUUUUAGGCAGUGGUUUCUGGAGUGGCGGAAACCUUGACAAUUGUAGCACUGGACCGGCUCUCGAGUUCUGUGCAUCAUUUCAACUUUGAUGGUUUGGUUGCCCAGGACCUUCAAAUUGUCCUAUUUUUCAUACAUUGCACACUGGUCCCAAAGUCCAAAA